UGCCAAGACACUGGUCCUGUGGAGGACAGCGGCCGCCGCAGCUCUGGACACAGCUGUCCAGUGGGACUCCUGCCCGGCGUCCCUCCUGUGGUUGCAGGCGGCAUCCUCUCGGAAUUCCUUAUUUCCACCCUGACCCCCUCUCCGAACUCGGGACCUUCAACACAGCGGGACACCUUCCCCACAGUGACUCAGGACCACCUCACCAAACUUGAUGGCAGCAGUUUGAUGGCAGAGUCUCAAGUUGCUGGAGCUCAAAGGGACCUUGGAUUUUUCCAGGUCUACUUUGAUGGGAGUUUUUAUAUUUCAAAAGGUUUGAUCCAUCCUGCAAAUCACUCCAGAUCAUAACAGGCUUCUGGAUCAUUUUCCCCACCUCCAUGAACUCCACACCCGGAAGGUCUGCCUGGAAAUGCUAGCCAUGUGCGAUGUGUGCGCAUGGACUCGGGAUUUAGAUCUAAAAUGAAUGGAUGGCAAGGGGAGCACUAUACUCAGCAGUGGAUUCAUCAUGAUGGAUUCUAUAGCUAACUGGGCUGUUAGGAGAUGUGGUCUGGUUGUAAGUGGU
rnacentral:lncRNA from 1 species